rnacentral:ncRNA from 1 species
GUGUUGUAUGAAAGGAGAGAAGGUUAGCACUCCCCUUGAUAAGGAUGGAAGAGGCCCUAGUGGCCUGUUCAACACGCCUACGGGUAAGGGACUGCAAAACACAGAGCUGUAGAAAGAACCGGAAAUACAU